CAAUAGCGUAUAUUAAAGUUGUUGCAGUUAAAAAGCUCGUAGUUGGAUUUCUGGUUGAAGCGACCGGUCGGGCGUUGAUUCGUCUGCACUGGAGUCGGUUUUGGCCAUCCUCUAGGAAAGUGCGUCUGGUAUUAAGUUAUCGGGCGUAUGAUCCUGGUCUUUUACUGUGAAAAAAUUAGAGUGUUUAAAGCAGGCCUUCGCCUUGAAUACAUUAGCAUGGAAUAAUAAGAUAGGACUUUGGUCUAUUUUGUUGGUUUGCAGACCGAAGUAAUGAUUAAUAGGGAUAGUUGGGGGUAUUUAUAUUCCGAUGUCAGAGGUGAAAUUCUUGGAUUUACGCAAGACAAACAGCUGCGAAAGCGUCUGCCAAGGAUGUUUUCAUUAA
rnacentral:rRNA from 1 species